AUCAAAAACACUAUUCUAUUACUCUUUUUCUCUCCACUUUUUAGGCUUCACUCAUUCAUUCUCUAUUUUUUGCGAGUCAAAGAAGUUGCUCCUAAUGCGAGACGAAGAAACGCCAAACUCUCAUUCUCUUUUGUCUUCCCCGACAAAUUUCAAAGUCCAAGAGGUAAUGUAAUUCUUCUCUCUACUCAGCGUUCAAUUAUAGUUUCCUCGUGAUUAUGGAAAAUUGCAGAGAAAUGUGACUUCUACGGCUACAAUUGUGGUGGCGAAGGCAUAACUUCAAAAAAAGUUGGAACCCUAAAAAUUUCUUGAAUGUUCGAGAAGGUAGAUUUGGAAGGGAAAACCAACCACGAUUUGGAAGGGAACAGAGGCGGUGCAGUACAAUUCAGCGAUGGAGAUUACCGCGGUGGCGGAGAAAGACGCGGAGUUGAGGAAAUCGGCGUUCAAGCCAAACUCACCCGCUUGCAAGGUCGUUGUGGAUCAAGUGGUGAAGAUAAUCGAGAAAGCGGAUUCGAAGCUUCUGGUUCCCUGCAUAAAGACGAUUGGGAAUUUGGCCAGAACAUUCAAGGCGACGAAGAGUCGGAUGAUUGUUUCCUUUCUAAUACUUUGUGCUCCAUUUAACUGUGUGCUAGUUUUGUUUCAUUUCCCAUGAGAUUUCAUUAUAGUAUAUUUUGUGGCUUGAGUUUCUUAUUACCUAUGUACCAAAGUCCAAUGUAAAGGGCUCCUACUACUAUUUUUAAAUUUUAGAGAACAAAUACUUAUUAUCUGUGUGGCAGCACAUAAUUUGGAUUUGACCAUAUAUAUAUGUGCACAGGAAUGGACCAUUCUGGAUUUGCACUACCUUAAUAUUUGUAGCAGCAUCCAUUGGCACAUUUGUGACAUAUUUAUCGUACAAACUGAAGCAUAAGGAAUGGAACUAUGACAUAAAUCUGGUGACAUGGUCCGCUGGCUUGUUUUAUGGUUAUGUCAACAUUGUUCCUCUUGGUUUGUAUUUAAUCCUUAAGUACAUCUCUGUACCAUCUGGCCUUGUCCAACUACUCUGCCUCUAUGGAUAUUCCCUAUUUGUCUUUAUUCCGACUCUGGCUCAAGUUCAUAGACAUGCUCAUAACUUUAGGGAAGUGCAGCAAUGUACUCUUCUGUCUAUCAAAAUAGGAGGGUGCAGUGAAGAUUGUUACAUAAUAUGUUGGAUAUGUUUUAGAAUUGAUGGAUUUAAUGUCUUAAUAAUAAAAAAUGUCAUGCUAGACUUAUGGCUA